rnacentral:rRNA from 1 species
UGGGGAAUAUUGGACAAUGGGCGCAAGCCUGAUCCAGCAAUGCCGCGUGUGUGAAGAAGGCCUUCGGGUUGUAAAGCACUUUUAUCAGGAACGAAAUACCAUUGGUUAAUAACCGGUGGGGCUGACGGUACCUGAGGAAUAAGCACCGGCUAACUUCGUGCCAGCAGCCGCGGUAAUACGAAGGGUGCAAGCGUUAAUCGGAAUUACUGGGCGUAAAGGGUGCGUAGGCGGUUUGUUAAGUCUGUUGUGAAAUCCCCGGGCUCAACCUGGGAAUGGCAAUGGAUACUGGCAAGCUAGAGUGUGUCAGAGGAUGGUGGAAUUCCCGGUGUAGCGGUGAAAUGCGUAGAGAUCGGGAGGAACAUCAGUGGCGAAGGCGGCCAUCUGGGACAACACUGACGCUGAAGCACGAAAGCGUGGGGAGCAAACAGGAUUAGAUACCCUGGUAGUCCACGCCCUAAACGAUGCGAACUGGAUGUUGGUCUCAACUCGGAGAUCAGUGUCGAAGCUAACGCGUUAAGU